AUACGGAGGAUGCGAGCGUUAUCCGGAUUUAUUGGGUUUAAAGGGUGCGUAGGCUGUGCGUUAAGUCAGGGGUGAAAUGCCGUCGCUCAACGACGGAGCUGCCCUUGAUACUGGCGUGCUGGAGUACGGAUGCCGUUGGAGGAAUGAGUGGUGUAGCGGUGAAAUGCUUAGAUAUCACUCAGAACACCGAUUGCGAAGGCAUCUGACGAAUCCGUCACUGACGCUGAGGCACGAAAGCGUGGGGAUAGAACAGGAUUAGAUACCCUGGUAUUCCACGCCGUAAACGAUGAUGACUAACCGUCGGCGAUAGACAGCCGGUGGCCAAGCGAAAGCGAUAAGUCAUCCACCUGGGGAGUACGUCGGCAACGAUGUAACUCAAAGGUAUUGACGGGG
rnacentral:rRNA from 1 species